rnacentral:rRNA from 1 species
AACCGUUUGGAGCCAGACUGGCUUGAUCGUAAUCAAUCUAGGCUUCGGCCUGGAUGCACUUGCGGUCUAUGCCUGCCAACGACAGUUCUUUCUGAAGGACAAAACUAGGAGGAAUGUGGCCCCUCGGGGUGUUAUAGCCUUUUAGAUAAUACUUUGGAUGGGACUGAGGAACGCAGUGAAUGCUUAUGGCGAGAUUGCUAGGCGCUUUCGUUAAUAGAUGUUAGAAUUUCUGCCUUGGGUGGUGCUGAUGUCUAAAGAUGAAACCCGCUUGGUUAAUUUUCUAUUCACUUAGGUCGUUGGCUUAAUGACUCUAAAUGA